rnacentral:snRNA from 1 species
GAAUGCUCCUCAGAUUCA